rnacentral:rRNA from 1 species
AAACGGGGUCUAAUACCGGAUACGACCUUCGAGCGCAUGCUUGAAGGUGGAAAGCUCCGGCGGUGCAGGAUGAGCCCGCGGCCUAUCAGCUUGUUGGUGGGGUAAUGGCCUACCAAGGCGACGACGGGUAGCCGGCCUGAGAGGGCGACCGGCCACACUGGGACUGAGACACGGCCCAGACUCCUACGGGAGGCAGCAGUGGGGAAUAUUGCACAAUGGGCGAAAGCCUGAUGCAGCGACGCCGCGUGAGGGAUGACGGCCUUCGGGUUGUAAACCUCUUUCAGCAGGGAAGAAGCGAGAGUGACGGUACCUGCAGAAGAAGCGCCGGCUAACUACGUGCCAGCAGCCGCGGUAAUACGUAGGGCGCAAGCGUUGUCCGGAAUUAUUGGGCGUAAAGAGCUCGUAGGCGGCUUGUCACGUCGGAUGUGAAAGCCCGGGGCUUAACCCCGGGUCUGCAUUCGAUACGGGCAGGCUAGAGUUCGGUAGGGGAGAUCGGAAUUCCUGGUGUAGCGGUGAAAUGCGCAGAUAUCANGAGGAACACCGGUGGCGAAGGCGGAUCUCUGGGCCGAUACUGACGCUG